rnacentral:rRNA from 1 species
UUAGUCUCAGUUCGGAUUGUAGGCUGAAACUCGCCUACAUGAAGCUGGAGUUGCUAGUAAUCGCGAAUCAGCAUGUCGCGGUGAAUACGUUCCCGGGCCUUGUACACACCGCCCGUCACACCAUGAGAGUUGGCAAUACCCAACGUACGUGAUCUAACCCGCAAGGGAGGAAGCGUCCUAAGGUAGGGUCAGCGAUUGGGGUGAAGUCGUAACAAGGUAUC